CCUACGGGCGGCAGCAGUGAGGAAUAUUGGUCAAUGGGCGCGAGCCUGAACCAGCCAAGUAGCGUGAAGGAUGACUGCCCUACGGGUUGUAAACUUCUUUUAUAAAGGAAUAAAGUGAGGCACGUGUGCCUUUUUGUAUGUACUUUAUGAAUAAGGAUCGGCUAACUCCGUGCCAGCAGCCGCGGUAAUACGGAGGAUCCGAGCGUUAUCCGGAUUUAUUGGGUUUAAAGGGAGCGUAGAUGGGUUGUUAAGUCAGUUGUGAAAGUUUGCGGCUCAACUGUGAAACUGCAAUUGAUACUGGCAGGCUUGAGUACAGGAGAGGUAGGCGGAAUUCGUGGUGUAGCGGUGAAAUGCGUAGAUAUUAGGAAGAACACCGAUUGCGAAGGCAGCUUACUGGACAGUAACUGACGUUGAGGCUCGAAAGCGUGGGGAGCAAACAGGAUUAGAUACCCUUGUAGUC
rnacentral:rRNA from 1 species